rnacentral:rRNA from 1 species
GUUACAAUGGCAGGUACAGAGGGGUGCUACCGGGUGACCGGAUGCCGAUCUCGAAAACCUGUCCCAGUUCGGACUGGAGUCUGCAACCCGACUCCACGAAGUUGGAUUCGCUAGUAAUCGCGCAUCAGCCAUGGCGCGGUGAAUACGUUCCCGGGCCUUGUACACACCGCCCGUCAAGCCAUGGGAGCCGGGGGCGCCUGAAGUCCGGGACCGCGAGGACCGGCCUAGGGCGAAACUGGUGACUGGGGCUAAGUCGUAACAAGGUAGC